rnacentral:rRNA from 1 species
AGAGAGAGACAUGCGCGCAUAUCAAUAAGCGGAGGAAAAGAAACUAACAAGGAUUCCCUUAGUAACGGCGAGUGAAGCGGGAAGAGCUCAAAUUUGAAAUCUUCAAGGUUUUACCUUGACGAAUUGUAGUUUAAAGAAGUGUUUUCUGCUGGAGUUUUGGUAAAAGUUCUUCGGAAUAGGACAUCAUAGAGGGUGAGAAUCCCGUAUUUGACCAUUAUUUUCAGCUUUGUGAUACACUUUCAAAGAGUCGGAUUGUUUGGGAAUGCAGUCCAAAAUGGGUGGUAAAUUUCAUCUAAAGCUAAAUAUUGGCGAGAGACCGAUAGCGAACAAGUACCGUGAGGGAAAGAUGAAAAGAACUUUGAAAAGAGAGUUAAACAGUACGUGAAAUUGUCAAAAGGGAAGCGUUUGACACCAGUGUUGUUUUCUCGAAAAUCAAUUAAAAAUGGCUCGAUUUUGUAUUGUUGAGACCUUAAAAGCUCACUGUACAUUUUUCGUGUCUUUUUUAAUGCACUUUUCGUUUAACAAGUCAACAUCAGUUUCUUUUGUUGUAAAAGGGUCAUUGGAAGGUGGCUUUCUUUUCGGAGAAAGUGUUUAUAGCCUUUGGCCUCUGCAAUCGAAGAGACUGAGGUCUGCAGCGUAGACUCUUCGGGGUUAGAUACAUUUGUCGCUAAGUUAUAGCUUUUCAUAGACAACUUGUUGACUAUAAUUAGUCUUGUAGCUUACUCGCUUAUGCUAUUUUACCUACGCUUAGGAUGUUGAGUCGUAGAGCACGCAG